UACAGAGGUCUCAAGCGUUGUUCGGAUUCAUUGGGCGUAAAGGGUGCGUAGGCGGCGCGGUAAGUCGGGUGUGAAAUCUCGGAGCUUAACUCCGAAACUGCAUUCGAUACUGCCGUGCUUGAGGACUGGAGAGGAGACUGGAAUUUACGGUGUAGCAGUGAAAUGCGUAGAGAUCGUAAGGAAGACCAGUGGCGAAGGCGGGUCUCUGGACAGUUCCUGACACUGAGGCGCGAAAGCGUGGGGAGCAGACAGG
rnacentral:rRNA from 1 species